CAGGAAAACAUGCGAUGGAUGGGAUGGU
rnacentral:piRNA from 1 species